rnacentral:rRNA from 1 species
UACAGAGGUGGCAAGCGUUGUUCGGAAUCACUGGGCUUAAAGGGCGCGUAGGCGGUCGGAAGGGUGUCUUGUGAAAUCCCUCGGCUUAACCGAGGAAUGGCGAGGCAAACCGUUCGACUUGAGGCAGGUAGAGGUCGAUGGAACUCUGGGUGGAGCGGUGAAAUGCGUAGAUAUCCAGGGGAACGCCAAUGGUGAAAACAGUCGACUGGGCCUGUCCUGACGCUGAGGCGCGAAAGCCAGGGGAG